CCUACGGGAGGCAGCAGUAGGGAAUAUUGCUCAAUGGGGGAAACCCUGAAGCAGCAACGCCGCGUGGGGGAUGAAGGUUUUAGGAUUGUAAACUCCCUUUGUGAGAGAAGAUAAUGACGGUAUCUCUCGAAUAAGCACCGGCUAACUCCGUGCCAGCAGCCGCGGUCAUACGGAGGGUGCAAGCGUUAGCCGGAAUCACUGGGCGUAAAGGGUGCGCAGGCGGGCUUGUAAGUCAGAUGUGAAAGCCUGUAGCUUAACUACAGAACUGCAUUUGAAACUAUGAGUCUAGAGUGUGGGAGAGGUAGGUGGAAUUCUUGGUGUAGGGGUAAAAUCCGUAGAUAUCAAGAGGAAUACUCAUUGCGAAGGCGACCUACUGGAACAUUACUGACGCUCAUGCACGAAAGCGUGGGGAGCAAACAGGAUUAGAUACCCCGGUAGUC
rnacentral:rRNA from 1 species